GACGAACGCUGGCGGCGUGCCUAAUACAUGCAAGUCGAGCGCAGGAAACUGACGGAACUCUUCGGAGGGAAGGCAGUGGAAUGAGCGGCGGACGGGUGAGUAACACGUAAGGAACCUGCCUCAAGGAUUGGGAUAACUCCGAGAAAUCGGAGCUAAUACCGGAUAGUUCAACGGACCGCAUGGUCCGCUGAUGAAAGGCGCUGCGGCGUCACCUUGAGAUGGCCUUGCGGUGCAUUAGCUAGUUGGUGGGGUAACGGCCCACCAAGGCGACGAGGCAUAGACGACCUGAGAGGGUGAUCGGCCACACUGGGACUGAGACACGGCCCAGACUCCUACGGGAGGCAGCAGUAGGGAAUCUUCCACAAUGGACGAAAGUCUGAUGGAGCAACGCCGCGUGAGUGAUGAAGGUUUUCGGAUCGUAAAACUCUGUUGUAAGGGAAGAACACGUACGAGAGGGAAUGCUCGUACCUUGACGGUACCUUACGAGAAAGCCACGGCUAACUACGUGCCAGCCGCCGCGGUAA
rnacentral:rRNA from 1 species